GACAGAGGUGGCAAGCGUUGCUCGGAGUCACUGGGCUUAAAGGGCGCGUAGGCGGUCGUGCACGUCGGGGGUGAAAUCCCCGGGCUCAACCCGGGAACUGCCUUCGAUACGGCGCGGCUAGAGUGCGGGAGGGGAGAGUGGAACUCCUGGUGGAGCGGUGAAAUGCGUAGAUAUCAGGAGGAACGCCGGUGGCGAAAGCGACUCUCUGGUCCGCAACUGACGCUGAGGCGCGAAAGCCAGGGGAGCAAACGGGAUUAGAAACCCCCGUAGUCC
rnacentral:rRNA from 1 species